CUCCAGCCGACCAGUCCCAAAUAGGACAAAACUCACGUCCUGCAC
rnacentral:hammerhead_ribozyme from 1 species